rnacentral:piRNA from 1 species
UCCCUGAGGUGUGACCACUGGACCAGGAG